rnacentral:rRNA from 1 species
UACGUAGGUGGCAAGCGUUGUCCGGAUUUAUUGGGUUAAAGGGUGCGUAGGUGGUCUAUUAAGUCAGUGCUGAAAUAUCCCGGCUUAACCGGGAGGGUGGCAUUGAUACUGAUGGACUUGAGUAAAGUUGAGGUGGGCGGAAUUGACGGUGUAGCGGUGAAAUGCUUAGAUAUCGUCAAGAACACCAGUGGCGAAGGCGGCUCACUGGACUGGUAUUGACGCUGGAGGUGCGAAAGCGUGGGGAGCAAACAGG